rnacentral:rRNA from 1 species
AUUGAACGCUGGCGGCAUGCCUUACACAUGCAAGUCGAACGGAUUCAAGAGGCUUGCUUCUUGAGUUAGUGGCGAACGGGUGAGUAAAGCAUCGGAACGUACCCAGUUGAGGCGGAUAACGUAGCGAAAGUUACGCUAAUACAGCAGACGCACUGAGGUGGAAAGAGGGGGACCGAAAGGCCUCUCGAAAUUGGCGCGGCCGAUGUCGGAUUAGCUAGUUGGUGAGGUAAAGGCGCACCAAGGCGACGAUCCGUAGCUGGUCUGAGAGGACGACCAGCCACACUGGAACUGAGACACGGUCCAGACUCCUACGGGAGGCAGCAGUGGGGAAUUUUGGACAAUGGGCGAAAGCCUGAUCCAGCCAUGCCGCGUGAGUGAAGAAGGCCUUCGGGUUGUAAAGCUCUUUCAGACGGAAAGAAAUCUUUUGGGUGAAUAUCCCGGAAGGAUGACGGUACCGUAAGAAGAAGCACCGGCUAACUACGUGCCAGCCGCCGCGGUAA